UUUCAUUCAUCGACCUUUGUCGCUCCUGUAGUUCGCGAGAGCGGCGCCAUGGCGAGGGAUGACGACCCUUCUUGCUUUGCGAGAGGGAUGGCAAAUGGUGCGUUUCUCCUCUUCUCUCGAUUCGGUUCGGUUCUUUGCCCUAUACGUUCUUCAUUUGUAGCAUUUUUCCCCAUUCCAUGCUAUGGAGUUCGAUGCUUGAGUCCUUUUCUGAGUGAAUCAUUUGGUCAAAGACGUGGCAUCUUCGAGGAGAAAUCGUUCUGCUCGUAGAUCAGUAGCUUCAUCUUAAAGUCGAUCAUUCUCUAUUCUGCCAAAACGAAUUUACACUCUGGAAACAGUGAGAUUGGAUAUAAUGGGAUUGGUUGCUGAUAAUGCGGGCGAUGUCCGGUGAAUGAGACGGAUCUAGGUGCAAGAUGCAUCUCAACAAAACAAAAGGAUGCUAAUGGGAUUGGUCGCUAGUUGCCCCUAAACUUUCCCUCAAAUGGCCAUGAGAUCCUCGUACUUUUCAAGUUCUGCAGAUUUACUCAAAUUUGUGCUCGUCACUUUUGAA